rnacentral:rRNA from 1 species
CCUACGGGAGGCAGCAGUGGGGAAUAUUGCACAAUGGGGGAAACCCUGAUGCAGCCAUGCCGCGUGUGUGAAGAAGGCCUUCGGUUGUAAAGCGCUUUCAGUAGGGAGG